rnacentral:rRNA from 1 species
GCUGGCGGCAGGCCUAACACAUGCAAGUCGAGCGGUAACAGAAGAAAGCUUGCUUUCUUUGCUGACGAGCGGCGGACGGGUGAGUAAUGCCUGGGAAUAUGCCUUAGUGUGGGGGAUAACUAUUGGAAACGAUAGCUAAUACCGCAUAACGUCUUCGGACCAAAGAGGGGGACCUUCGGGCCUCUCGCGCUAAGAUUAGCCCAGGUGGGAUUAGCUAGUUGGUGAGGUAAAGGCUCACCAAGGCAACGAUCCCUAGCUGGUCUGAGAGGAUGAUCAGCCACACUGGAACUGAGACACGGUCCAGACUCCUACGGGAGGCAGCAGUGGGGAAUAUUGCACAAUGGGGAAACCCUGAUGCAGCCAUGCCGCGUGUAUGAAGAAGGCCUUCGGGUUGUAAAGUACUUUCAGUCGUGAGGAAGGCAUUGUAGUUAAUAGCUGCAGUGCUUGACGUUAGCGACAGAAGAAGCACCGGCUAACUCCGUG